GAGGGUAGAGCUCAGUGGUGGAGCGCGUGCUUAGCAUGCAUGAGGUCCUGGGUUCCAUCCCCAGUACCUCCA
rnacentral:tRNA from 1 species